AUCAAUUCUAAAAAUAUCUGGAAUAACUUUAAAUGUAUUUAGUACAGAAUUAAAUUUAAAUAAAAAAAUGUUAAGAUUUUUUUAAUAUUAGAAUAUAAAUUAUAUUAAUUAUAUGAUUUAAUCUUCUAAUAUCAAAUUGAAUUAUAAAUUUAUUAUUAUAUAUAUCUUAACAGUAAAGUUAUAUUAUAUUUAAUUAAUAUUUAAAUUAAUAAUGUUAAAAUUAGUAAAUAACAUUUAUUUUAUUUAGGAACUCGGCAAAAAUAUUAUUCAUCUGUUUAUCAAAAACAUAGUUUUAUGUAGUGUAUAUAUAAAAUGAAACCUGCCCACUGAUUAUAAUUUAACGGCCGCAGUACCUUGACUGUGCUAAGGUAGCAUAAUAAAUUGACUCUUAAUUAGGGCCUUGAAUGAAUGGAUAAAUGGAUAAUUUCUGUCUUAAUAAAAAUUAUUUUAAAUUACUUAAAAGGUGAAAAUUCCUUUAAUUUAUAUAAUAGACGAGAAGACCCUAGGAGUUUUAAGUUUUGUUGGGGCGACAAUAUAGCAUUUAACCUAUAUUUAAUAAUAUUAUAAAACGAAUAAUUUUAAUAAUAAAUAAACUACUCCUAGGGAUAACAGCACAAUUUAAUUUUAAGUUUGUGACCUCGAUGUUGGACUAGGAAC
rnacentral:rRNA from 1 species